GGUUAUGGAGUGGUGUGCUCCUCUUGUGGCGUAGUUUGUAGAGGCGUCGUAGUUUCUUGCGUUGGUAGUUGAGUAGGCGGUGCGGCUCUAGAAGAUGACGCUCCAGAAGUAUAAAUGUUCUGCGCUGCAUCGUUGUUGAAGAUUGGCGGAAACUCCGGUAAGCGCAAGUUCGGAUUUUGAGCGAGCAUUGCUUUGUUGUAUUGUUGGAAAAACGUCAU
rnacentral:lncRNA from 1 species